CCUACAAACGCAACACCGUUACACUUUUGACGCAAAAGAUUUUCCUCCUUUCCGAACCUGAAUUUCACAACAAAAAUUUGGAUUUGUUAAGAGAAACCCUGAGAAAAAAUCUUUACCCAAUUGGAUUAGUUGAGAGUUUAAUGAAAGUGACCAAAGAAAAGUUUGACAAGAAUGAAAAAGCGCUGCCGAAAGAAAAACUUCCUAUAGUUGCAGUACCUUAUGUUAAAGGGUUGUUUGAAAAGCUGAAGAACAUAUGCAAGAAUGACGUUAUGCUGAUUGGUAAAGGAGACAACACCCUAAAGAAGUCAGUUUUCAGUAAAUUGAAAGAUCCGACACCGAAGAUGAAACAGUCACAUGUUGUCUAUUCGAUUCCAUGUAGUUGUGGAUGUAGAUAUGUUGGCCAGACUUUACAGUAUUUGAAGUCUAGAACUGGUCAGCAUAAAUAUAACAUAGACAUCAGUAACAAUGAACAUAGCGCAUUAUGUGAUCAUGCAAAUUCUACUGGUCACACGCCGCUAUGGGAAGAUGUUAAAAUUGUCUAUCGAGAAAGUAAUCAAAAGAAGAGAGACAUUCUAGAAAUGAUUGCGAUAAAAAAGACACCGAAUUGUCUCAACAAACAGACUGAUUGCAUAUUCUUGCCGUCAACGUACAAUAACAUUAUCUGAAAUUCUGGUGAAAUUUGCACUGUGUGCUGUUGCUUUGUUACACGAAUUUGUGUUUUUUACGAUUAGUUAGAUACACUCAGUCUAGUUGAAUGUCUGUUGUUACAGACUUCUUUCAUUGAUUAAUUUAAAGAUUUUUGAUGUUUGUGACUACCAAUGUUUAAGUUUUUAUUUAGCAUUGGAGUCGCAUAUGACGAAGCACACUUUUUAAUGCGUGUCUAAACUUAUUAUAUAAACAUUCGUGCCACUGAUGAUGGCAUCUAUUUGAUGUCGAAAUUAAUUUGGCAAAAAUAAAUUGAUUUUGGAACAAAUUGAGCGAUACCGAUUUUCUCUACAUAUAUUCUAAAAAU